GUGCAAUGGAUAAGACUUGCCAUGGGAAAACCAUCUAUGUGAUCAUGGUAUCUCCCCUGCCAGAAUAAAACAACAGCAACUGGCAAAGGAGGAGACCAUGUGACUAAGUUCUCUCGGUGAACGAUCAGCCCAGAUGGAGUGCUUCUCCUGAAUCUGAGCUCUCAAGACAGCAGCUGGGCCUCCACACUCUCCUUCCCCUCCACUUCUGGCUGCAUAUAACCAGAGGCCUCACCAGAGGGGCUCUGAAUGACCACAUAAAGGAAAUCCGUCCAAUAACCCAAAUAUCCACACUGGACUGUUAGGUGCACGAGAAAUAAAAUUCCAUUGUGUUUGAAUCUUGGAUGACAGUUUAGCCUAUCCUAACACCCUGCCUGAAAUUUCACUUUUGAAAAUAUACUCCUUUGAAUUAAGGCUUUUUUUCUUUGUUCAUCCCCAAUAAAAGACAUACCUAUCUGGGAUAUAUAAAAUAUC
rnacentral:lncRNA from 10 species